AUUCGUACCCAUCAUGUUUAGAACUCUUUGAGAUAAGAGGCUCUGCCUCUUUCACAGUGCAUCCUCCUACACCUGGAGAUGGAGUGACAGGUGGAUGAAAGAAGAAGAUACGAGAAAAGAGUGUGCUCUGCUCUGCUGAUGUAAUAUACAGGGUGAAACUGAGCUGGCACUGAGAGAAAAAAAUUAAUGACUUUUUCUGGCAGUGAAUUUCUACAUCCACCCAAGGGCCAGGAAGUUUCAUACCCAUCUCUGACCUGUAUCUCUGGUGGUUCCUCCUUCUGCUAUGAGGCUGCUCCUAAAUACACAAUACUCCCCCGUGAGGUCACUUGUUUAUCGGGGUGAGGAGAAAUUAAUGGUAAAUUGCUGCUGCUGUACGUACUUUUCAUCCUGGGCUUAGGACAGCAAAACUGAAAUACAAAAUGAUCGGGCUCUAACAUUCACAUGGAUGUGAUUUGUUUCUGUGAGUUCAUUCUUCUAUUUAGAGAAAGAUAUUGCUACCCUCCCUUCUGCACUGACACAGUUGCCAAAAUAACCGCUCUUACUAACUGGCAGCUUUAAAAGCCAGCCUGCAGCUGACUUUGAAACAGAAGGUCAGCAAAGGGAGCAACAGACUUCAAUUCAGAGCUUUAAUGGGAGCCAUUGACCACAGCAAAAGGCCUUGACUGGAGUGUCUAGAGUGUGCUUUGCACAGGCCAAAAAGUCACUUUCAUAUUCUUUGAACCUUUUGUAUAAACCUAUAUAUUUUUCACUCUGUGGAUUUCAAGAUGAAUGUGCAGCCGUGUGCUAGAUGUGGCUAUGGGGUUUACCCUGCUGAGAAGAUUAACUGUAUAGAUCAGACAUGGCAUAAAGCCUGUUUUCACUGUGAAGUAUGCAAGAUGAUGUUAACAGUAAACAACUUUGUUAGCCAUGAGAAAAAGCCUUACUGUCAAGCGCACAAUCCAAAAAACAAUGCAUUCACGAGUGUAUUUGAAACACCUCUAAAUAUGAAUGCAAAAAAACUGUCGGAAGUAGUAAGUGAGGUAAGGAGCUUGAGGGCUAAAUGUGUUUGUU